GGAUUUGUGCCUUCGGGAACCGUGAGACAGGUGCUGCAUGGCUGUCGUCAGCUCGUGUUGUGAAAUGUUGGGUUAAGUCCCGCAACGAGCGCAACCCUUAUCCUUUGUUGCCAGCGAUUAGGUCGGGAACUCAAAGGAGACUGCCAGUGAUAAACUGGAGGAAGGUGGGGAUGACGUCAAGUCAUCAUGGCCCUUACGACCAGGGCUACACACGUGCUACAAUGGCGCAUACAAAGAGAAGCGACCUCGCGAGAGCAAGCGGACCUCAUAAAGUGCGUCGUAGUCCGGAUUGGAGUCUGCAACUCGACUCCAUGAAGUCGGAAUCGCUAGUAAUCGUGGAUCAGAAUGCCACGGUGAAUACGUUCCCGGGCCUUGUACACACCGCCCGUCACACCAUGGGAGUGGGUUGCAAAAGAAGUAGGUAGCUUAACCUUCGGGAGGGCGCUUACCACUUUGUGAUUCAUGACUGGGGUGAAGUCGUAACAAGGUAACCGUAGGGGAACCUGC
rnacentral:rRNA from 1 species